AUUGAACGCUGGCGGCAGGCUUAACACAUGCAAGUCGAGCGGGGUGAUGGUGCUUGCACUAUCACUUAGCGGCGGACGGGUGAGUAAUGCUUAGGAAUCUGCCUAUUAGUGGGGGACAACAUCUCGAAAGGGAUGCUAAUACCGCAUACGUCCUACGGGAGAAAGCAGGGGAUCACUUGUGACCUUGCGCUAAUAGAUGAGCCUAAGUCGGAUUAGCUAGUUGGUGGGGUAAAGGCCUACCAAGGCGACGAUCUGUAGCGGGUCUGAGAGGAUGAUCCGCCACACUGGAACUGAGACACGGCCCAGACUCCUCCGGGAAGCAGCAGUGGGGAAUAUUGGACAAUGGGGGGAACCCUGAUCCAGCCAUGCCGCGUGUGUGAAGAAGGCCUUAUGGUUGUAAAGCACUUUAAGCGAGGAGGAGGCUCUUUUGGUUAAUACCCAAGAUGAGUGGACGUUACUCGCAGAAUAAGCACCGGCUAACUCUGUGCCAGCCGCCGCAGUAA
rnacentral:rRNA from 1 species